GUUUAUGUCUCCCCCUCUCCCAGCGAUCUGGGGGCUUGGGGUUUAUAUCUCCCCCUCUCCCAGCGAUCUGGGGGCUUGGGGUUUAUGUCUCCCCCUCUCCCAGCGAUCUGGGGGCUUGGGGUUUAUAUCUCCCCCUCUCCCAGCGAUCUGGGGGCUUGGGGUUUAUGUCUCCCCCUCUCCCAGCGAUCUGGGGGCUUGAAGGCCAGCCGGGGUUUAUAUCUCCCCCUCUCCCAGCGAUCUGGGGGCUUGAUGGCCAGCCGGGGUUUAUGUCUCCCCUCUCCCAGCGAUCUGGGGGCUUGAUGGCCAGCCGGGGUUUAUGUCUCCCCCUCUCCCAGCGAUCUGGGGGCUUGAUGGCCAGCCGGGGUUUAUGUCUCCCCCUCUCCCAGAGAUCUGGAGGCUUGAUGGCCAGCCGGGGUUUAUGUCUCCCCCUCUCCCAGCGAUCUGGAGUUUCUUUAGAAAUGGUAUUAUUUUACUCUGUGUGUGUUUAGGUCCCUCUGGGUAGGGCUGGGGUGAAAGGUCCAUUAAAUCCUGGUUUGGCCUCUAGAGCCCUAAUGUCUGACCUGCGCUGAGCUCUGUCGACUCUAGAAGUAGCUAGAAGGGAGCUGGAUAAUCCCUCAAACUUACAGAACAGAAGAGCGUUGACCUAGGCUCUUUCUUUCUUUCCAACAAUCAAUAUCCCCUGUAUACUCUCUCUCUCUCUCUCUCUCUCUCUCUCUCUCUCUCUCUCUCUCUCUCUCUCUCUCUCUCUCUCUCUCUCUCUCUCUCUCUCUCUCUCUCUCUCUCUCACACUCUCUCGUUAAUCCAACUAGCACACAGGAAAAACAGUCACCAGUGUCACUGUCAGUUUAUACCAAAUAUAACAUUGUUACUAGAUUUCUAGAGAACUGGUGUCACAACUAAAGCUAAAAAGCCAAUCAGACAGGUGUCGUGGAUGCUGUUUGUUAGAGCUUUCAGACUCCUGGAGAUUCAGACCACUCGUACAAAAAACCAAAACCUAUUCCGGAACCUGUCAGGUGUGACUUCUCAGUAGUUCUCUAGAAGGUUCUCGAUCAUUCUGUAGAACGUUCUACAGUUGUUCUGUAUUCUGGAACUUCUUUCAGAAAUAAUGUCCAAAAGCCAGUCAUUUGCUGUGAAAGAUGAUUGUUCAUUUCCCCAGAUAUUAUUUGUUGUUUUGGUGACACUGGCUCCGACUUCUGACGUAGUUUUUUUUAGAUCUACAGGAGAUAUUACCACAGGCUGUGUCCCAAAUCACAUUCCCUACCUAUUUGCUCUACUCUAUAAAGUAUAAUAGGGAAUAGGGUCCCGUUUGGGACGUUGGAACAGAGAGCUGAUGACGAGAUAGGUAUCGGAGAUGUUAUUAUCCCUGAGAAGAGAUGAUUAAAACUAUAUGAUAGGUAUACAAAGGAAAAGAUUGUAACGUUUGAUAAAUGUGUUAAAAUUGUUCAACUGAAAAUAGGUCUAAAGUUUGCUGUAUUUAUAAUGGCUGUAUUAAGUCGUGCCUGGUUCUCUUAUUCUUUCUUCAAACACAUUAUAUAUGCUUUCUUUUUACUUGACUACAAUUUAUUUUGCGUUCUGUAUGUAUGUUUUCACUGUAUUGUAAAAUGAUCAGAUAUCACAAUAAACUUUAAAUGGCAUUCGACGGGGGAUUGUGUGUGUUCCAUAAUUCCUUCAACAGCUAC
ensembl:lncRNA